rnacentral:rRNA from 1 species
AACGAACGCUGGCGGCAUGCCUAACACAUGCAAGUCGAACGAGACCUUCGGGUCUAGUGGCGCACGGGUGCGUAACGCGUGGGAACCUGCCCUUAGGUUCGGAAUAACUCCCCGAAAGGGGUGCUAAUACCGGAUAAUGUCUUCGGACCAAAGAUUUAUCGCCUUUGGGUGGGCCCGCGUUGGAUUAGCUAGUUGGUAGGGUAAAAGCCUACCAAGGCGACGAUCCAUAGCUGGUCUGAGAGGAUGAUCAGCCACACUGGGACUGAGACACGGCCCAGACUCCUACGGGAGGCAGCAGUGGGUAAUAUAGGACAAUGGGCGAAAGCCUGAUCCAGCAAGGCCGCGUGAGUGAUGAAGGCCUUAGGGUUGUAAAGCUCUUUUACCCGGGAUGAUAAUGACAGUACCGGGAGAAUAAGCUCCGGCUAACUCCGU